AUAGUUUGAUCCUGGCUCAAUUGAACGCUGGCGGUAGGCUUAACACAUGCAAGUCGUGCGAGAAAGUACCUUCGGGUGCGAGUAGAGCGGCGGACGGGUGAGUAACGCGUAGGAAUCUACCUAGUAGAAGGGGAUAGCCCGGGGAAACUCGGAUUAAUACCGUAUACCUCCUUAGGGAGAAAGAGGGCUUAGCUUUGAUGCUCUCGCUAUUAGAUGAGCCUGCGUAAGAUUAGCUUGUUGGUGAGGUAAUGGCUCACCAGGGCGACGAUCCUUAGCUGGUCUGAGAGGACGAUCAGCCACAUUGGGACUGAGACACGGCCCAGACUCCUACGGGAGGCAGCAGUGGGGAAUAUUGGACAAUGGGCGCAAGCCUGAUCCAGCCAUACCGCGUGUGUGAAGAAGGCUUUCGGGUUGUAAAGCACUUUAAGUGAGGAGGAAAAGAUUGUAGUUAAUACCUGCAAGCCGAGACGUUACUUACAGAAUAAGACCGACUAUUCGUGCCAGCAGCCGCGUAAUACGGAAGGUCAAAGCGUUAAUCGAAAUUACUGGGCGUAAAGCGCGCGUAGGUGGUUUUUUAAGUUGGAUGUGAAAGCCCUGGGCUCAACCUAGGAACUGCAUCCAAAACUAGAUGACUAGAGUACGAAAGAGGGAAGUAGAAUUCACAGUGUAGCGGUGGAAUGCGUAGAUAUUGUGAAGAAUACCAAUGGCGAAGGCAGCUUCCUGGUUCUGUACUGACACUGAGGUGCGAAAGCGUGGGUAGCGAACAGGAUUAGAUACCCUGGUAGUCCACGCCGUAAACGAUGACAACUAGCUGUUGGGAGACAAGAUCUCUCAGUGGCGCAGCUAACGCUUUAAGUUGUCCGCCUGGGGAGUACGGCCGCAAGGUUAAAACUCAAAUGAA
rnacentral:rRNA from 1 species